CAAAUUUAUUUGUCUGAAAAGCACGAUAACUUUAGUGAUGAGGAGAAAUUGAAGAGAAGAAGUGGAUCUAAAAAUAAGAGAUGGCUGCUGUUGGUGGAAGAAUUCAAGGGAGAAAAAGCGCCAAAAGGUGUUGCAUCGGUGCACGCGGUUAAAGCUCAUGUCAAUAAAUUGGAGACCAAGGACAUUGACGGCAAAACUGGAGAUAAAUGAGAACUCUAAUUCUCUUUGUUGCUGUCGGAGAAAUGCAAAGGCAUGGACUGGGAAUGGCACACAGGCGCAGUGGCAUAGUGGAUGGAAGUUGUUGGGUAGGGGUGAGCAACGGACGGACGGUUGCGGGUUAGGGGUCACCGUGUCCAAUCCGUCAAAGUUGCGGAUUUGGAAAAUCAAACCGUGUCCGGCCCAAUCACCCGCAGAUUUGACAUCCGCGGAUUAGCGGGUGAUACGGACCGGUUGAGGAUUAACCGCGGUUUGCAUCAUUGGAGUUGUGGCUUGAUAUUUAUCUGCAUUCAAGAAAAUUGGAGUUUGGGUCUUGGAUUUGGUCUUUCAUUCGCUUAAAUGGUUUACAGUUCGUGGAAGGAGACGAACUUUUCAACUCAGUGGUGCUAUGAGAAUUAUAUUCAGCAACUUCUCAUGACGAAAUUGAAGAGGCAUCCCAUCCACCGAGACUAGUCUACCCAAACAGAGUGCUCAAUAUGGAUUACGGUAUUGAUGUAUGCAGUUGUGAGUGCUCAACUCUUGACCUUCUUCACUAAGCAAGGAAGCACCAUGAUUAAUUCCCUUACCGCCCUACGGUGCGGAUGAAUCUGCGGAUUUCAAAGUCCAACCGUAACCAAACCGCUAAAAGUGCGGAUUUGAGAAUUCCACCCGUGUCCGGCCCAUAGAUCUUGCGGAUUGGGUUUCACCCGUAAUUUUACGGAUGGAUAUGGGUGAAAUCCGCGAUUCCGGACUUUUUGCUCACCCCUACUGCUGGGCAUGAAAGUCGUGUCAUGAUCAACAUGGGCUCGACAAUCUAUCAGGCCUGGGGAGAAAAGAAUGAAACAGGGAAUAGAGUUCACAUCAUAGGAUUUACACAUGCACAGUUGAAGAGGAGAAAAAUUAGGUCUCAAUAGAAACCAAGUUACAACAGAUGAAGACUCAUUUCUUCUUUGAAUUCACGGUGGGUUCUUUCUCUUUCCCUCCGACCAACUCUCGGCUAAUUCUGCCGUCAAUCAACAGUGGGGUUUGUGGCUGUUUCAGAAAGGGUUGAUAGUUCUUCUCGCAACCAAGCACUGAAGAUGGCUGGAGUUUUCAAGGGAUUCUGGUACAUAGUUAUGGUGGUAUAGAACAUAUUUUUAGAUGCAGAAAGAAAAGGAAGAAAUUGAGCUGCUGAGUACGGUGGUGAAUUGGGUUAAUCUUGACUCAAGGUUGUAGUUUAAUUUGCAGGUUGAUUUGGGUAUCGAAAUGGUGGUUUGUUGGUUCGAGUUCAGGGCUUAACUGGAGCUAAUUUGAGGUAAGUAUGUAGCUGAUUCAAUGUGGAAUUGUGGGAAAGAUUUGGCUGGGAAGUUGAGGUAGUAAAUGAGCUGUUGAUAUCAUGAGUUCUGGGGUCAUUUUGGUUGCAGUUUACAAGAACUGAAAGCUGGGUACAGAGUUGUUUGGGAGAUAAGCUUGAUUUGCUGCUGAAAAUCAGUGAAGAAGGCAUUACUGUGGCAUGAGAUUUGUAACUGAUUAUGUACAUCUACGAAUGGAAGAACCGAAGCUGUGUUCUGGUGAUCUGUAGUUCGAGUUUGGGGAUGAAAUGGGUAUAAUUCUGGAGCUCAAAAGGUGCAGGCCAAGGCAUGUGUUUCUGCUGUUUAUUUGAAGGAUUGUUUUACAGGGGUAUGAGCUGAAUUCGUUAAUGGAAGAGAAGGUGGUAUAAGAUCAGGCAAAGAACUGCAAUUGUUGCUGUCCAUUUUGUGAGCUGUGUUCGAAGGGUUUUGAUGUUCAUCUGUAGCUCAGGAGGAAUUCUGGGCAGAAAGCUACAAACCAGUGAAGCUGUUGGCUGAAUUUCAGUAGAAAGAUGUUGUUGUUGCCGUGACUGGUGGGUGUUGUCGAAAGGAGUUAAAGCUUUUUAAGUCGAGACGCAAUUAUGAUUUCUGGCUACGAUUAAAUGAAGGAAGUGGUUUGUUGGUCUGAGUUGGAGGUGGAUUCUGAGCAGUUACAGGCAAGCCAUGAAUGACAGGGUUCUUGUGUCCAAUUUUGUGCAUAUUGUGUGUCUAGUAUGAAGCUAAAAGGGUAGUCCAGAGGCAGUGGCUGCUGCCAGGGUUCGAUGGAAGUUUGAGACUUGUUUUGCUGUUGUAGCCAUGGUUCGAUGGCUGUACAGGAAGGGUAUUUGGCAAUGGUUCAGUGGAUGGCUGUACAGGAAGGGUAUUUGGCAAUGGUUCAGUGGCUGUGCGCAAGGAGUUUUUGGCAGUAACUUGGACGCGAUUUAGAAGAUGACCAGGAUUGUAUGGGCUGAAUGGUAAAGAUUUGAUGACCUGUUCCCAACAGUUUGGGAUGAGAUUUGGAGGCCUGUAGGGUUCAUGAAUGUAUCUUAUUCGCAAGUCCAGGGCAGAGACAUAUAAGGGAGGCGCAGAAAUCACAGAAAACCUACCUUAUCAUCACCGUUUUGCGCCUGUACCUGUUUGCAGAAUUGCUGAGAAAGCUUGGAGCUGACAGAGACCUGUUCUACGCAACAGCAACUCUGGUUUGCUUCCUGGGGGUUUAAUCUAAACUUCCCCUUCUUUUUAAACAAUCUUUUAAGCCAUUGUUAAGAACUUAUGACUAUGAGUAGCUUAUUCAAUCUUUGAUUACGGGCGAUUUCAAAGCCCGGAAUAUGAACUUAUUGAUAUGAAAUAACUUCUUGCACCAUUAUUUC